GCAUAUCAAUAAGCGGAGGAAAAGAAACCAACAGGGAUUGCCCCAGUAACGGCGAGUGAAGCGGCAACAGCUCAAAUUUGAAAUCUGGCCCCUCGGGCCCGAGUUGUAAUUUGUAGAGGAUGCUUUUGGCAAGGUGCCGCCCGAGUUCCCUGGAACGGGACGCCGCAGAGGGUGAGAGCCCCGUCUGGCUGGCCACCGAGCCUCUGUAAAGCUCCUUCGACGAGUCGAGUAGUUUGGGAAUGCUGCUCAAAAUGGGAGGUAUAUGUCUUCUAAAGCUAAAUAUUGGCCAGAGACCGAUAGCGCACAAGUAGAGUGAUCGAAAGAUGAAAAGCACUUUGAAAAGAGGGUUAAACAGUACGUGAAAUUGUUGAAAGGGAAGCGCUCAUGACCAGACUUGGGCUUGGCGAAUCAUCCGGCGUUCUCGCCGGUGCACUUCGCCUCGCCCAGGCCAGCAUCAGUUCGCGCCGGGGGACAAAAGCUUCGGGAAUGUGGCUCCUCCGGGAGUGUUAUAGCCCGUUGCAUAAUACCCUGGGGCGGACUGAGGUUCGCGCAUCUGCAAGGAUGCUGGCGUAAUGGUCAUCAGCGACCCGUCUUGAAACACGGACCAAGGAGUCGUCUUCGUAUGCGAGUGUUCGGGUGUCAAACCCCUACGCGUAAUGAAAGUGAACGCAGGUGAGAGCUUCGGCGCAUCAUCGACCGAUCCUGAUGUUCUCGGAUGGAUUUGAGUAAGAGCAUACGGGGCCGGACCCGAAAGAAGGUGAACUAUGCCUGUAUAGGGUGAAGCCAGAGGAAACUCUGGUGGAGGCUCGCAGCGGUUCUGACGUGCAAAUCGAUCGUCAAAUAUGGGCAUGGGGGCGAAAGACUAAUCGAACCUUCUAGUAGCUGGUUUCCGCCGAAG
rnacentral:rRNA from 1 species